AAUAUACAACAUGUUCCUAAAUAAUGCACUAAUCUUGUGUUAGUAAAAAAAAUAUCACAAGACUUGAAUUGCAAAGUAAAAUUUCGUUCUUUUUACUGUAACUUUUAGGAUUAGCAAUUCGAGAAGAAUGAUUAGACAUGCUGAUACCAAAUAAGGAAUUUACUAUUUAGAUACAUUUGAGAGAACUUUUUCAGUCAUUACCACCAAUACCAUACACAAAAUUUGUUUCUACGAUAAAAGAGUUAAGACACCCAUCAUUCUUUAUUUUCAAGGUUAUAUUUCCUUUAUUGUUUACAAAUUCAAAAUAUGAA
rnacentral:lncRNA from 1 species